AGGUGCCAAUCCCAAGUCCAGGCUGGCCUGGAUUACAAAAUGGUAAACCCUCUUUAGUUCCCAUCACGCUCCUCAGGUCAUUAAUACACUUGACCGGCUUACUGAUCUGCCUUCCUUUCCCAGACACUCUUAAAAUGGACAGUAAAGGAAUAAAAAAGUCUGUCCCACAAGACUGCCCCACCCACACUCACACCUACUUUAGGUGCCAAUCCCAAAUCCAGACUGUCACCUGUUUCUGACUGAUCAGCUAUAAAUGGGAGGUUCCCACAACCCCCUCCUCCAUUUUGGUUAAUUUGCUAGAAUGGCCUAUAGAACUCAGUAAAACAUUUCACUUAAUACAUUACUCGUUUAUUAUAAAAGGAUAUACUCCAGAGCAGCCAGAUGGAAGAGAUGGGUAGGGAAAGGUAUGUGGGAAGGGGUGUGGAGCUUCUUUCCCUGCCCUCUCCAGGGAUGCCACGCCUCUACCUGUUCACCCACCCUGAAGCUCUCUGAACCCAGUCGUUUGGGAUUUUAUAGAUGCUUCAUUACACAGGCAUGAUUGAUUAAUCUUUGGCAUUGGUGAUUAAUUCAGCCUCCCUAGAGGUGGGACUGAAAGUCCAACCCUCUAAUCACCUGGCUGGUUCCCCUGGCAACCAGCCCCCAUCCUUGGGGGCUUUCCAAAAGUCACCUCAUUAACAUAAGCUCAGUUUCACCAAAAGAGGCUAGUUAAAAAUAACAAAAGGAACUCUUCAGCCCUGGCAGAGUGUGGCUCUGUUGGUGCCUGAGAAAAGGGUCAGAAUGAAGAAAAACAUUAAAUCCUUAAGUUACCAGGGUUUUAGGAGCUACCCUAAUCAACACUAAGUGGAAGUCAUGCUAGGCAAACAACCUGACAACUACGCUGACAGCUUGGAACCAUAAUUAACUCAUGGUCUUCUACCCUCACAUUUUCCCUAUAAUCUCUUAGCUUUCCCUUGUUCCAAAAAUAAAAUCCAUGUGCUAAGACACCAAGUUAGUUACAAUUUCAGUGGACUGAAGUUGCAGAUCUCAGCAGGACGUGGUAAAGCACCAGCUUGUUUACAUGUGAUCUCUCCAGGGCUAGGCAUGUUUUAUUAGCUAUUUUAGAUAUAACGCACUUUUCAGUUUUUAUUUAAAAUAUCCUUUUGAUUUUAGCCUACAGUUGCUUUUUGCUCUUUAAAAUGUGUCGUGUCCCUGUUAACAUGGUUGAUGGUGUGUGUUUUUCUUUCUAGUUAUGAAAAACCUCCUCCCGGGCUGAUCAAGGAGGAUGAGACGAAGCCGGAGGACUGUAUCCCCGAUGUACCCGGCAACGAACACGCCAGGGAAUUCCUGGCCCACGCGCCAACGAAAGGACUCUGGAUGCCCCUGGGGAAGGAGGUCAAAGUCAUGCAGUGUGAGUGUGAGAGUGUGUGGAGUCCCGAGGACACACACGCGGGCUGCUUACCUCCAUUCAGUGUUUCUCUCAUCCAGCUCAUUCCCGUGACAGUGCUGUUAGUCACGCACGAUCUCUGCUCUAUAGACAUGGGGACCAACUUGCAGGCGGCAGGAAGCGGGCCCAGGUGACAGGUGGAGCAAAGGCGGGGCUCCAGGGCCCUGACUCCCAGUGCAGUGGCCUCCACAGGACGCUGGCUGCCUUGAGUACACUCUUAGUAAUGUCCCUGCAACAGAAGGGACCUUCCAUGGUGGAAAUGCCGUGGGGGACAAGGGGUGCCUUGGAGGGCAGGUCCCUGUGGGUCUUGCCUCAGUCGGUCCCCCCAUCAGUGGUGGUAAGGUUGUCCAUGCGCCUGGGGAGCUCCAGGCCAGAGGGUGGGUCUGGGACAGGCAGAGCUGUGUGCACACCCCCGCCACCAGCGCAGCAAGGCCUGCUCCAGCAAGAUGGCAUUUGAAGAAAGGGCACCGCAGCCUUUUAAAGACAUUUGUUUGUACAAAGAGUCUCCGUGCACAUAAUUGAAAUAGCCGUUCCCAGCUCCAUUUCUCCAUUCCCUCACCACAGAGGUAACCACCUGAACCUCUUUUAAGGUUAUUUCGAAGUUUAGCUCCACAUACCUAAAUAACAUGAUUAUACGUAUUCCUGCCCCUUGAUCUUUCAGGUUUCCUCAUUAUCUGUUGGCUUCUUACUAUAUAAAAUCCUGAGUUUUUGUUACACAUCCCUAUCUCUCUGUAAGGCUGUUUUACAUCAGAUAUUAGAGCGGGCUGCCCCUGGAGCCAGGGAUCUGAGAGACGGCAGGGAGCACGCAACACUGCGUUUUAUGGCCUGGCCUCAGCAAUCAUCAGCCGUUAUUUCCAUAAUGUGCUGGUGCUCCCACAGCUGAGCCUGAUCGCUGUGCAGGGGACACAUCGCUGUGCAGGCUGUGACCGUGUGCCUGCGAGGACUGGGCCUACUGGAGUCCUCUUGCAGGCCGGCCCCACACUCACUCCUGUUCAGGAAUGAGAGGUGGAGAUUGGUAACUGGAUCUCACUGCAGGGUGACGUGCCUGGGCUGCUUAACUGAUAACAAAAUAUGUGUUUUACUGUUGUGAACAGUAGCUGCUGAGGUCAGUAUCUCCAAGUCUUUCUCAUCGCGCUGGCUAGUUUCUCACGGAAGAGUUUUUUUCCUGCCCAAGGUGAAGGCCACAUUCUUGGGUUCUGGGAACUGAUUCGAGGAACAAGGCUGUGAGGUCUCAGCAUCCAGCCUUCAGCCGUCCACACCCUCUCCCUGUGUUCAGUGUGGCGCCUGGCCUUCCAACGAGCUUGACAUCUGCACAGCCAGAGACCUCCUCUCACCUCCUCCAGAGAACGAACCUCCUCUGUUUCGGAGCUGGGGAGAGAUGCAUAUGGCCCUGUGACCAGCCCUCCUCAUUUAAGCUGCGCCCUCAACUCCAUUUCCACAAACGUGCUGCCAAUUUGAGCUUUUGGGGGUUCUACAAAUCAAAAUUGAGUUGGUCCUCAGUCCUCUCUUCCGCAGGCUUAGACUUCAGUUCUCAGAGUCUAACCAAUUUGUGCGCUUGCCUGCAUUACGGCUUCCAGCGCUUCCACUGUGGCCUUCUUUCCCAGUUCCCAGUGCUUGUGGGCCAUGCCUCGUUAGGUGCCCUCUCUGGUGUUUUAUGGGAUGUCAGGAAACCGGUGAAAGUGAAUGGUCGCUUUAAUCUGCCAUCUUUACUCAAAAGUCUGCUGCGCUUUUAAGUUUAAAAACCACCUUUUUCUGUUAUGGGGUGGUUAGUUGUGUUUCACUUACUCUUUCCCAGUUCUUUUCAUUGACUUGCAAAUUAAGAGUGUUUGGUUAAAACCAGAACCAGUUUUACCGUGAAGUUAAUGAAGCUUAACCUUGUGGGCCCCUCACUUGCACCUUCCAAAGGCCUGUGAAGUCCCAAGAUGUGUUCAGAUGGUGCUGUCUUGCCGAGGCAAGAUUUUCCUUUUCCCUAAAGAGCCUCCCCCCCCCUUAAGUUAGGUAAGCUUCAGGCUCCACAAAACAUGGACCCAUCCCAGGUUGGCGCUGUAAACGGUAUGGUCACCGAACGGGCGACAAAGAAUGCCCUUUCUUUAUCAAAGGCAACCAAAAGUUAGAGCAGUUCAGAGUAGUAAGUAGAACCCCAGAGUGUGAAUUUAUGUUUACCAAAGACGGUAAAUACCCAUCAGUCAGGCAGUAAUCGGUGAGCUGGGGGUUCACAUAAAAUACAUUCCCAAAAACCUUUUCUGGGCAAAGUAUCUAGUAUUAACUACAUCACUGUUAAAUCGAGUUUGUGUGACAGAUUAAACAUUAACAAAAAACUAACUUCUUAUUAGAGCGUUACUUGCUUACACCUUGGGAAAGCGGUUUCUUUUUUCUGAAGCAGACAUUGUUACCCACUUUUUACUUAAUAUGUCAAAAGAAAAAGUUUCAUAACAAAAAUCAGGGUUCUAGUUUCCCAGUCCUUGUCUAGAGAUUAGACAUCUUUUUAUUAUAAACUAGAAAAGUGCAUAAAUGAUAUAUCCUCACGUGACAGUAACACCUCCCAGGGAUGUUAAUUCACCAUUCAGUAACUGCUCAUUCACUGCUCAGCAACUGCCAGGUCAAUUUCACUGUGCUCUGAUCAGGUAUAUUGGGAUUUCAGCAUAUAUCAAAUGGGGGUCCACAUUCUCCAGGCAUUUUAACACAUUGAAAAUACUGUGCUUUCAUUUUAAUAAAUUGAAGAAGAUAUUCUGGAUAAAUCACUGAUAGCUGGAAUAUAAAUUUUUAUAGCUCCUCUAAUAGACAGUUUUGGUGAUAAAUAUCAAAAGCUUAAACAUACUCAAUAUUUUUUAAACUCAGAAAUCUAAGUUCUAAGAAUUGAUCCUAAGGAUAUAACAGAACAUCAAUAUACACACUUUUUUUAUGAAUGUAGAAGGAUAACUUUCAGAAUUAUUUAUAUGGUUAAAAAAUAGAAACUAAAGAAAAAUAGGCGACAACUUCAGUGGCCAACAUACCAACAUAAAUUACUAUAACAUAGAAACCAUACAGCUUUUAAGAAUUAUGUUUUAGAAGAAGGUAUAAUGUCAUGGGAAGAUGUUCAUGAAAAUAUAAGUGAAAAAGAGAAUAGAAUUACAAUAAUAUGAUUAUAAAUUUUUGUAAAUUAUGAAUGACUGGGAGAACCACACUAAAAUGUUAGUGGUGGAUACUCCUGGUGGUAAAAUGAGAUAUUUUUAACUCUAUUUUUUACUUAAUAUGUUAAAUUUUUACAAAAACAUAUUUUUAAAGAUAAUUCACAUACCAAAAUUCACUCUAUGUGUAUCCAUAUUUUUAAGUAUUUUAAGUGAUUUUAAAUUAUACAGUUAUUACAGGAAUACACUUGCCUUACUUUAACAAAAUAGAAACAUUACAGUAAGGUUUUCCAAAAUUGAUUUUUCAAGUCCAAUCUUGCCUCUCUCCCCAAAGGGGAUUUACGGUAAGUAGCAUGAUAAGUAUAUUUCCAGAAUUCUUUUGGCACAUUUCUGUGUACCUAUAAAUGAAUCAUUCUUCCAUUUUCCAACUCACUUGUUUUGCUUAAUAUCUUUUGAUCAUCUGUCCACAGAAAACAGAGAAUUACCUCAAUAUUUUUAACCUUCAAUAGUAUUGAUUAAUGAUUCUUCCAUGGUUUAUUUCCUUAUGAAGGAUAUAUAAAUUAUAAUCCUGUAUUUGUGUAAUCUGAAAAUCUUUUUUAUGGCCUCCAUAAAUUUGAAGUAACUGUGACCCACAGGAGGGAUUAGAACACAUAGAAUAUAAAAUUACACCAAACCGGGGAGGGGAAAAACCAAUUUCAGUGAAACAGGGAUUUAAUUUUAAUUUAACAAUCUAUUAAGCCUAAUCCAACAUUAAGCUUCUCU